UUCAUUGUGAACAAUGAGUGGAUCUGCAACAAAAGUUGGGAAGUCUACCACCAAUGCGAAUAGGGCUUCCUUGGGAGAGAGGUUGUAUGCCUUGAUUAACAAGGAUUCUAGGAACGAGGACACAUCUAAUAGUGAACAUAAGCAAACCCUGCCUGACAAGCGUGUUGGAAAGGAAAUGAGCAGUUCAGUGCCUCUAGAUGAUGAUAGAAAACGGAGGUCCCAGGAUUGGUUAAUGUUGACUUUGCAGAUGUGCGAGCUAUCAUGGAAAAUGCAGGGUCAUCUCUAAUGGGAAUAGGAACUGCAACUGGCAAGACUAGGGCAAGAGAUGCUGCAUUGAAUGCCAUUCAAUCACCUUUAUUAGAUGUUGGUAUAGAAAGAGCUACUGGGAUAGUCUGGAACAUAACUGGAGGAAGCGAUCUCACUCUAUAUAAGGUAGGUUUUUAUUCAUUAUUUCAACUUACUGGGAAUUCAUGCACAUUAAUAUGGGGCCAUAAGUGAGGCUGUCUAACUUUUGUAUGUUGUCACAUGGAUCCCAAGAAUCAUAUGCUUGAGACCAACAGG